rnacentral:misc_RNA from 1 species
UCAUCCCUCAAGCCCGGCUUGUCCUUGAACCUCUUGUCGUCAAAGACGGGUUCGAAAGAUAAUGACGGUGUCGUGUCGACCCUAGAUUGCAACGAGCUUUUUACAGCACGCAUUUUAGCGGUUGGCCGGCCCGGUCUUUAACCUUAAUUUUUCUAU